rnacentral:rRNA from 1 species
GACGUAGGGCGCGAGCGUUGUCCGGAUUUAUUGGGCGUAAAGAGCUCGUAGGCGGCUUGUCGCGUCGGCUGUGAAAACCCGCGGCUCAACUGUGGGCGGGCAGCUGAUACGGGCAGGCUGGAGUUCGGUAGGGGAGACUGGAAUUCCUGGUGUAGCGGUGAAAUGCGCAGAUAUCAGGAGGAACACCGGUGGCGAAGGCGGAUCUCUGGGCCGAUACUGACGCUGAGGAGCGAAAGCGUGGGGAGCGAACAGG